AAGUACUAAAAACCUUUUCUUUCUUUUAACAUACACAAUGGGCGUUACUUACACCUUCGAGAUUGUAUUAAAGUUGCCUAGAGGUUUACAUAGGUAUGUAUGUACAUACAUGAUUUCUGCCUUUUCCGAAUCGAUUAAACACACUUUUUGAAAAAUCGUAAACUUAAGUGUCAACGUACCAAUUCUGGUAACAUUUUACUAGAUUGGCAACCGUGCCCAGUUCGUCUGAAAUCGUUGACAUGGCAAGAUUCGGCUGUGUUCGGUUGUUCGCCGUAUUAUUUGCGGCCAUUUCGUUUCAGGGUUGCAAUGCAGUUUCGAAGCAAAUGGGAACGGCUUGUGAACUAUGCUCCGCACAGUGACCAUUUCGACCUUUUCUGUAGUCAAUCUGUCUAAAGUUUCAGCAAUGACGAUCAACGCAAAAUCGAUAUCUUCUAGUUUCAAGAUAAAUAUGUCAAUAUACAUAUGUAUGAAUGUACUAUAUAUGUAUACUUCGUGUAUACGUAUGUAUGGGUGCAUUCUUUGUAAUUGGGUAAUGCCAACGACAGCGAAAAUCGGAAUUGCUCAUGGAAAAAACCCGUACGGCCCUCAGCGACCAAAGCCGUUUGGCUGUGAACGUGUAUCAAGCAACAAUACAACCGUGCGUUUGCUGCAAAUAGCAGCAAGGCAACAACAAUCGUGUGUGGUGGAGCGGAAAUGAGUGUUGCCAGAAUAUUUUCGUAAACAAAUCUUUCAAGUGAAGAUUAAUAUUUCAAAAAUCUAAAAAAUUCUUGAAAAAAUUCUGUCAAAUAAAUCUCUUUUUUGAAGAUUUAAAAAA